rnacentral:lncRNA from 1 species
GGGAAGCGCCACCAACUACAUGACCCACACCGAAAUCAUGCGCGCUGGAAAACGCAGUCUAGGAUUUGUAGUUUUUAACACAACUCCCAAUUCUAUAGUUUGAGCAUGAAUAUACUUGCUUUAUCUUAGAUUGAAAGUAACCCGUGUUUUCUUUACAUCUCGAAUCAGUGGCUGUAAUGUAUUCAAAUGCGCGAGGAUGGAAAUCAAUCUCACUACAUGUUUGCUAUAUUAUAAGGCAUGUAUUUCAGCUUUUUAUGUAACAGACUUCAUGUAAUCCUUAUCCUAAACUGUUGGUCUGUGAAGCAGUAGUUUACUUUAGUAACUGAAUCUAAAUAGUACUGAUUGUUUUCCGUGUUAAAGCGUUCAUUCAUUGAACGUUGUUGUUUUUGUCCUUUUCCUUAAAAAGAUAUUCAUUUUAGGACGUUUUUACUUGUAAUAUAAGUUUACAGUUAAAAGCAAGGUCACGUUUUAACCCUAACAAGACAUUUUGUUCAACAAGUUAAGCACUCCUCGGUCUAAAAAAAACAGACGGGUUUAGAAAAACAAGACACUCUCUGUGGUGUAAUCCAGUCGCACUAGCCUUUACUGCCGUGAUUAAAAAAAACACAAAUGUUAUAUCAUACCAGCGCAUUAAACAUUUUAAAUAUUUACCAAAUAGCGUAUUUAUACAUGAACACAUACAAGCGAAUUUAAUGCGACACACAUAAUGUUUUAGACGACAAGUCACGUUAUUGUUCAUACAGGCGCGCGGUGGGCGCCUAUAAACGGAAGGGCUUUUCUAGGGUCCAUCGGUAUCAUAGCAACCACCUCUCAAACAACAACAAUGCCACGCUGCUGAAGCUGCAGUUGGACGUUCGCUGAUACAUUUGCUGUGGAUUAUCAUCAAGCUGUUUAUUCGUCCAAAUGUCGCUGAAAGAACUACAGCUGCCACCGUUGUUACACUCUGAAAGAGGAUCACAGCGACACGUUACUAACGGGAUAUCUAGGUCAAAGUUGAUCAAAACCAACGCGGGGGAAACCUCUGGGACCCUUUCAUCCUGGCCUGCUGAAGUUACCAAUCAAGUUGUCCAAAAGCCCGGAGGAAUAAAACAUCAUGGUCCUAAUGUCUGCAUAUAUGAUGUGCUGCAGAUCUCUUACCAAGCCUCGUUUCUUAGAGCAACUGGAGUCUCAUCUGAAGAGAGAAUUAGUAGCUUUAGACACACAUGGCAUCAAAGUCCAAGAGCUCAGACUGCAGGUUUGUAUCCCACUUUGUCUCUUACUCUUUAGCAUACAUUACGGUU